rnacentral:rRNA from 1 species
GACCUUCCCGUGAAGAGGCGGGAAUAACCAAAUAAGACGAGAAGACCCUAUGGAGCUUUAAUUAACUGAUUCACAAAAAAUAACAUACAAACCUAACCCCCAGGGACAACAAAACUUUUGAUUGAGUCAGCAAUUUCGGUAA